rnacentral:tRNA from 1 species
GGUUGUGUAGUGUAGUGGUUAGCACAUUGGAUUUUGAAGAGUUCCUCCUCAGCCUUCCAAUAACCCCGGUUCGAAUCCGGGCACGACCU